AUUAGGAAUCUUGCACAAUGGGGGCAACCCUGAUGCAGCGACGUCGCGUGGAGGAUGAAAUCUUUCGGGAUGUAAACUCCUUUUCUCAGGGAAGAAAAAAAUGACGGUACCUGAGGAAUAAGCCCCGGCUAACUACGUGCCAGCAGCCGCGGUAAUACGUAGGGGGCGAGCGUUGUCCGAAGUUACUGGGCGUAAAGAGCGCGUAGGCGGGCUCCUAAGUGAGGGGUGAAAGGUUCGGGCUCAACCCGGAGAGUGCCUUUCAUACUGGGAGCCUUGAGUGCGGGAGAGGCAAGUGGAAUGGUCGGUGUAGCGGUGAAAUGCGUAGAUAUCGAUCGGAACACCCGUGGCGAAGGCGGCUUGCUGGCUCGCAACUGACGCUGAGGCGCGAAAGCGUGGGGAGCAAACAG
rnacentral:rRNA from 1 species